rnacentral:rRNA from 1 species
UACGUAGGGUCCGAGCGUUGUCCGGAAUUAUUGGGCGUAAAGAGCUUGUAGGCGGUUUGUCGCGUCUGCUGUGAAAUUUCGGGGCUCAACCCCGAACUUGCAGUGGGUACGGGCAGACUAGAGUGUGGUAGGGGAGACUGGAAUUCCUGGUGUAGCGGUGAAAUGCGCAGAUAUCAGGAGGAACACCGGUGGCGAAGGCGGAUCUCUGGGCCUUACCUGACGCUGAGGCGCGAAAGCUAGGGGAGCGAACAGG